rnacentral:rRNA from 1 species
ACUCCUACGGGAGGCAGCAGUCGGGAAUCUUCCGCAAUGAGCGAAAGCCUGACGGAGCGACGCCGCGUGAGCGAUGAAGGCCUUCGGGUUGUAGAGCUCUGUGGGGAGAGAAGAAUAAGUUUAGGCGAAUACCCUGAAUGAUGACGGUAUCUCCUUAGCAAGCACCGGCUAACUCUGUGCCAGCAGCCGCGGUAAU